ACUACAUAACGUCCGUAAAAGUGCCGUAACAUCACUCGAACAUCCAUAACGUCUGUCUUACGUCCGUAAGAGUGCCGUAACCUCACUCGACCAUCCGAAACGUCUGUCGAACAUCCGUAACGUCCGUAACAUCGCCGUAACGUCUGUCACAGCUCCGUGACAUCACAGAUGAUCGAAAUAACGCCGUAACGUCUGUCACACGUCCGUGACGACCGUAACAACGCCGUAAUGUCCGUCUGAAGUCCCUGACGUCCAUAAGAACACCGUAACGUCUGUCACAGGUCCGUGACGUCACAGAUGAUGGAAACAACGCCGUAACGUCCGUAACAACGCCGUAACGUCUGUCACAGGUCCGUGACGUCACAGAUGAUCGAAACAACGCUGUAACGUCUCUCAGAGAUCUGUGACGUCACAGAUGAUAGAAAAACAACGCCGUAACUCCUGUCACAGGUCCGUGACGUCACAGAUGAUAGAAACAACGCCGUAAUUUCUGUCACAGGUCCAUGACGUCACAGAUGAUAGUAACAACGCCGUAAUUUCUGUCACAGGUCCGUGACGUCACAGAUGAUAGAAAAACAACGCCGUAACGUCUCUAAUAGAUCGGUGACGUCACAGAUGAUAGAAACAACGCCGUAAUUUCUGUCACAGGUCCGUGACGUCACAGAUGAUAGAAACAACGCCGUAACUUCUGUCACAGGUCCGUGAUGUCACAGAUGAUAGAAACAAGGCCGUAACGUCUCUCAGAGAUCUGUGACGUCACAGAUGAUAGAAAAACAACGCCGUAACUCCUGUCACAGGUCCGUGACGUCACAGAUGAUCGAAACAAGGCCGUAACUUCUGUCACAGGUCCGUGACGUCACAGAUGAUAGAAACAACGCCGUAAUUUCUGUCACAGGUCCGUGACGUCACAGAUGAUAGAAACAACGCCGUAACUUCUGUCACAGGUCCGUGACGUCACAGAUGAUAGAAAAACAACGCCGUAACGUCUCUAAUAGAUCGGUGACGUCACAGAUGAUAGAAACAACGCCGUAAUUUCUGUCACAGGUCCGUGACGUCACAGAUGAUAGAAAAACAACGCCGUAACGUCUCUAAUAGAUCUGUGACGUCACAGAUGAUAUAAACAACGCCGUAACUUCUGUCACAGGUCCGUGACGUCACAGAUGAUAGAAAAACAACGCCGUAACGUCUCUAAUAGAUCGGUGACGUCACAGAUGAUAGAAACAACGCCGUAAUUUCUGUCACAGGUCCGUGACGUCACAGAUGAUAGAAAAACAACGCCGUAACGUCUCUAAUAGAUCGGUGACGUCACAGAUGAUAGAAACAACGCCGUAAUUUCUGUCACAGGUCCGUGACGUCACAGAUGAUAGAAACAACGCCGUAACUUCUGUCACAGGUCCGUGACGUCACAGAUGAUAGAAAAACAACGCCGUAACGUCUCUAAUAGAUCGGUGACGUCACAGAUGAUAGAAACAACGCCGUAAUUUCUGUCACAGGUCCGUGACGUCACAGAUGAUAGAAAAACAACGCCGUAACGUCUCUAAUAGAUCUGUGACGUCACAGAUGAUAUAAACAACGCCGUAACUUCUGUCACAGGUCCGUGACGUCACAGAUGAUAGAAACAACGCCGUAAUUUCUGUCACAGGUCCGUGACGUCACAGAUGAUAGAAACAAAGCCGCAAUUUCUGUCACAGGUCCGUGACGUCACAGAUGGUCGAAACAACGCCGUAAUUUCUGUCACAGGUCCGUGACGUCACAGAUGACAGAAAAACAACGCCGUAACGUCUCUAAUAGAUCUGUGACGUCACAGAUGAUAGAAACAACGUCGUAAUUUC